CAUUACUUUCCUAUGGGAAGGCAUUGGAUUGACUUAGCCUUAGAUCAUCUAGUUUGAUAAUCUCAGCCAGGAGGUGUCAAUUCCAAUGUUAGAAACAGAAUUAUGUGGAACACAAAUUCAGACGUCUCUUUAAAAAGAAAUUAAAAUGAGCUUACUUGUUUAAAUAGCCAGGAAUUAGUAAUGGAUAUAUGAAUUAAACAAGAUAUAGUUGAAUUUCCUUCCUUCAAGCAGAAAAAAACAAGGAGUAGAAGUGAUUAGUUUGGCUUGAGUCUGUAUAGACCUAAUCCAGCAGAAAUAGUAUGAA